rnacentral:rRNA from 1 species
AUUGAACGCUAGCGGGAUGCCUUACACAUGCAAGUCGAACGGAGUGGCGAACGGGUGAGUAAUGUAUCGGAACGUGCCCAGUAGCGGGGGAUAACUACGCGAAAGCGUAGCUAAUACCGCAUACCAUUGGAGCGGCCGUUAUCGGAUUAGCUAGUGGGUGGGGUAACGGCUCACCAAGGCGACGAUCCGUAGCUGGUUUGAGAGGAGGACCAGCCAAACUGGGACUGAACCACGGCCCGGACUCCUGCGGGAGUCAGCAGUGGGGAAUUUUGGACAAUGGGGGAAACCCGGAUCCAUCCAUCCCGCGUGUGCAGUGAAGGCCUUCGGGUUGUAAAGCACUUUUGGCAGGAAAGCGGUACCUGCAGAAUAAGCACCGGCUAACUACGUGCCAGCCGCCGCGGUAAUUC